AACGAACGCUGGCGGCAGGCUUAACACAUGCAAGUCGAACGCCCCGCAAGGGGAGUGGCAGACGGGUGAGUAACGCGUGGGAACAUACCCUUUCCUGCGGAAUAGCUCCGGGAAACUGGAAUUAAUACCGCAUACGCCCUACGGGGGAAAGAUUUAUCGGGGAAGGAUUGGCCCGCGUUGGAUUAGCUAGUUGGUGGGGUAAAGGCCUACCAAGGCGACGAUCCAUAGCUGGUCUGAGAGGAUGAUCAGCCACAUUGGGGCUGAGACACGGCCCAAACUCCUAUGAGAGGCAGCAGUGGGGAAUAUUCGACAAUGGGCGCAAGCCUGAUCCAGCCAGGCCGCGUGAGUGAUGAAGGCCUUAGGGUUGUAAAGCUCUUUCACCGAUGAAGAUAAUGACGGUAGUCGGAGAAGAAGCCCCGGCUAACUUCGUG
rnacentral:rRNA from 1 species